GACGAACGCUGGCGGCGUGCUUAACACAUGCAAGUCGAACGGAAAGGCCCGGCGUUUGUGGGUUGGACGAGUGGCGAACGGGUGAGUAAAACGUGAGUAACCUGCCCUUGACUGUGUGGUAACUUCUGGGAACUGGGGCUAAUACCGGAUAUGAGCUACUGCUGCAUGGGGGGGAUUAGUGAAAUUCGGCGGUGGGGGAUGGUCUCGAGGCUUAUGCGCUUGUUUGGGUAGUAGUGGCUUACCAAGGCUUUGACGGGUAGCCGGCCUGAGAGGGUGACCGGCCACAUUGGGCCUGAGAUACGGCCCAGACUCCUAUGGGAGGCAGCAGUGGAGAAUCUUGCACAAUGGGCGGAAGCCUGAUGUAGCAACGCCGCGUGCGGGAUGCCGGCCUUCGGGUUGUAAACCGCUUUCUCCUGUGCUGAAGCGGUAGUGACGGUAAUUGGUCAAGAAGCACCGGCUAACUACGUG
rnacentral:rRNA from 1 species